AGAAGCUUAGGAUAGUAAAGUCCAAGGGCCUUCAAAGCCCUAGGCGGGGGUGAGAAUCCUCCAGCUCCUG
rnacentral:tRNA from 3 species